ensembl:snoRNA
CGGCCCAGUGACGACGACUGAUGGCAUAUGAGGCAUGGAUGAUGAAUACUGUGUGUCUGAAACUCUGAGGUCCAA